rnacentral:rRNA from 1 species
GGCUCACACGUGCUACAAUGGGUAGUACAGAGAGUCGCAAAGCCGCGAGGUGGAGCUAUCUCAGAAAACUAUUCUUAGUUCGGAUUGUACUCUGCAACUCGAGUACAUGAAGUUGGAAUCGCUAGUAAUCGCGAAUCAGCAAUGUCGCGGUGAAUACGUUCUCGGGUCUUGUACACACCGCCCGUCACACCACGAGAGUUGGUUGCACCUGAAGUAGCAGGCCUAACCGUAAGGAGGGAUGCUCCGAGGGUGUGAUUAGCGAUUGGGGUGAAGUCGUAACAAGGUAUCCGUACGGGAACGU